AACGAACGCUGGCGGCGUGCUUAACACAUGCAAGUCGAACGCGAAAGGGACUUCGGUCCUGAGUAAAGUGGCGCACGGGUGAGUAACGCGUAGAUAACCUGUCUUCACGUCUGGAAUAAUACGCCGAAAGGGGUACUAAUACCGGAUAUUCUUGCUUUUCAUAAGUUUUGCAAGGAAAGGUGGCCUCUGAAUAUGCUACUGCGCGAAGAGGGGUCUGCGUACCAUUAGCUAGUAGGUGGGGUAAUGGCCUACCUAGGCUACGAUGGUUAGCGGGUCUGAGAGGAGGAUCCGCCACACUGGCACUGGAACACGGGCCAGACUCCUACGGGAGGCAGCAGUGAGGAAUAUUGCGCAAUGGGGGAAACCCUGACGCAGCGACGCCGCGUGAGUGAGGAAGGCCUUCGGGUCGUAAAGCUCUGUCAAAGGGAAAGAAGUGCAUGAUGGCUAAUACCUGUCAUGUUUGACGGUACCCUUAAAGGAAGCACCGGCUAACUCCGUGCCAGCCGCCGCCGUAAAAC
rnacentral:rRNA from 1 species